UGCCGUUUAUAGAGACAUACAUAGGUAUCAUCGUUUCCACAAAUUCAUCAUUCAAAGAUUUCCUUCAUUUUACAACCGAACAGUCCCCCACGAUAGUGCGUACACAAUUUGGAAUCUCCGUUUCCCUUUCUGGAUCGGUAAAUUGAUAAGCGUAUUGGAAGAAUGGGGAGUUUGAGAGCGAUUUUGAAGAAUCCAGAUGAUUUGUAUCCAUUGAUAAAAUUGAAACUAGCGGCUAGACACGCCGAACAGCAGAUCCCACCAGAGCCACAUUGGGCCUUCUGUUACUCAAUGCUUCAUAAGGUUUCUCGUAGCUUUGCUCUCGUCAUUCAACAACUUCCUCUCGAACUUCGUGACGCUGUAUGCAUCUUCUAUUUGGUCCUUCGAGCACUUGACACUGUUGAGGAUGAUACCAGCAUUCCCACUGAUGUUAAAGUACCUAUUCUGAUCUCUUUUCAUCAGCAUGUUUAUGAUCGUGAAUGGCAUUUUUCUUGUGGUACAAAGGAGUACAAGGUUCUCAUGGACCAGUUCCAUCAUGUUUCAACUGCUUUUCUGGAGCUUGGGAAUCAUUAUCAGCUGGCAAUUGAGGAUAUUACCAUGAGGAUGGGUGCAGGAAUGGCAAAAUUUAUAUGCAAGGAGGUGGAAACAACCGAUGAUUAUGACGAAUAUUGUCACUAUGUUGCUGGGCUUGUUGGGUUGGGAUUGUCAAAACUGUUCCAUGCCUCUGGGAAAGAAGAUUUGGCUUCAGAUUCUCUCUCCAACUCCAUGGGUUUAUUUCUGCAGAAAACAAACAUCAUCAGAGAUUAUUUGGAAGACAUAAAUGAAGUGCCCAAGUGCCGUAUGUUCUGGCCCCGUGAGAUUUGGAGUAAAUAUGUUAACAAGCUUGAGGACUUAAAGUACGAGGAGAACUCGGACAAGGCAGUCCAAUGUCUCAAUGACAUGGUCACCAAUUCUUUGUCACAUGUAGAAGAUUGCUUGACUUACAUGUACAAUUUGCGUGAUCCUGCCAUCUUUCGAUUCUGUGCUAUUCCUCAGGUCAUGGCAAUUGGGACAUUAGCUAUGUGCUACGACAAUAUCGAAGUCUUCAGAGGAGUGGUAAAAAUGAGGCGUGGUCUGACUGCUAAGGUCAUUGACCGGACCAGGACUAUGGCAGAUGUAUAUGGUGCUUUUUUUGACUUUUCUUGUAUGCUGAAAUCCAAGGUUAAUAAUAAUGAUCCAAAUGCAACAAAAACUUUGAAGAGGCUUGAAGUGAUCCUGAAAACUUGCAGAGAUUCGGGAACCUUGAACAAAAGGAAAUCUUAUGUAAUCAAGAGCGAGUCUAAUUACAGUCCAGUUCUGAUUGUUGUCAUUUUCAUCAUACUGGCUAUUAUUCUUGCACAGCUAUCUGGAAACCGAUCUUAGACCAUCUAUUGGGUUACAAAAAAGAAGUCUGGUCAAGGAAGACAGCACAAGCUCUUGGCCAAUUAUGUGAUUAGUGAAAAUUGUAAUGUUUGAAUUACUAUGUUCAUCAAGUGAUAGUGCACCUUCAACCUGACAAGAUAAUUGCAAGCCUAUUUUCGGUACCUUCAACCUGACAAGAUAAUUGCAAGCCUAUUUUCGGUAGCUUGUUGGGUAUGUACUUGUUUGCAAGCUACAAAAGCAAAUUCCAAACUGUUGUAGAGGCACUUUACUGUAAUACACAUUUCAUUUUAAUAAUGUGUCCAUUUUUGUGGUAAA